GACAGAGGUGCCGAGCGUUAGGCGGAAUCACUGGGCUUAAAGCGUGUGUAGGCGGGCCGUUAAGUAUCUUGUGAAAUCCCCCGGCUCAACCGGGGAAUUGCUGGGCAUACUGGCGGUCUUGAGCAAUCUAGGGGCAGAUGGAACAAGUGGUGGAGCGGUGAAAUGCGUAGAUAUCACUUGGAACGCCAAAGGUGAAGACAGUCUGCUGGGGAUUUGCUGACGCUGAGACACGGAAAGCCAGGGGAGCGAACGGG
rnacentral:rRNA from 1 species